rnacentral:snRNA from 1 species
AUCUCUUCUAUUCGUGACCGUAUUAUGAUAGUGCAUGUGUGUAUGUAUAUAAUACAUACAUGUAUAGAAUGUAUGUACACCAUUUUGGGCGCGGGAGUUGGACCCGGAGCUUGCUCCCUCCGCUCCGCGCAUCGUCCCGGUAUGGCAGUACCUCCGGGCACGGUGCAAAAUUU